rnacentral:tRNA from 2 species
GCCCCUAUAGCUCAGGGGAUCAGAGCAUUGCCCUCCGAAGGCAUGUGCGCAGGUUCGAAUCCUGCUAGGGGCA